rnacentral:ncRNA from 2 species
CGGCGUUCUCAGGGCGGGGUGAAAUUCCCCACCGGCGGUGACAGCCCGCGAGCGCCCUUCGCGCACGCAGGUCCGGACGGGGCAACCCGGCGCGGGCCCGCGUGGCAGAGGAAGGGGUCAAGCAGAUCCGGUGGAAUUCCGGGGCCGACGGUGAAAGUCCGGAUGGAAGAGACGUAU